ACCAUAUGAUGUUCUGCUAAAAACGCGACGUCCUGUCGCAACGCAGAACCUAGCACAUCCUUGUGCG
rnacentral:sRNA from 1 species